rnacentral:sRNA from 1 species
GUCAAUAACCCACCACUUAUAGAAGUGGAGGCUUGAAGCUCUUAUUGAUUAGACUAAGCACUUUGAGUGCUACGUUAUUUAGGAAUAUAUAGUUACCUGUGGAUGUUUAGCCAAGUCUGCAGCUCUA